GUUCUGGCUCAGUGGUAGCAGGCUUGCCUUGCAUGCAUGGGCCACUGGGUUCGAACCCCAGCACCAGAUUA
rnacentral:tRNA from 1 species